GAGUCGGAGAGCAAAGUGUGGGCUCUCUGCAAGCAGACAGUUUCCAACAGGAGAGAAAGGAGGCCUCCCAUCUCCCCACUCAAUGCAUCUGCACUAACCUUGUGAUGUGCUUCAGCCUUGGAAGGAAUGUGUGAGCUCUGAACCUAGUCCUCAACAUCUACAACAUUUCCACUCCCACCAUCUCUGAGUGAUGUCACCAUGUAAAGCAUCGCAGACCAGUCUCCUUGAGGACAAAUGACCAGCACAGAAAGAGAAGCCCAGAAGACACCCAGCACCAACACCAGACAUGUGAGACCACUUCAGACCAUUCCAUCCCAGCCUAUCCAUCCUCUGGCUAUAGGAACAUGAGGUCUCCAACAAGACCAGUAGAAGAAAUGCCCAGCCAAGCCCAGGAAAAUUUGUUGACCUUAAACAUUUUUAGCAAAUGUAAUAGUUAUAGUACUAAGUUCUUGGAAUAAUUUAGUCAGUAAUGUAAGUGAUACAGAAAUUUACACUGGAAAUAGCAUGCCACCAUAAGUUAUUUUAAAAUGCCAAAAACACAUGACAUCAAUUUUGGAACAGGGUGGAAGGAAGAAGCCAAGAAAGCAAAAGGAAACUCUCAGUGGGGACUAGAAAAGGAGUAAAGAAACUGAUAUGAAAAUACUAGAAAAAUAGGUCACCUGUAUUAUGAAGAAC
rnacentral:lncRNA from 1 species